UUAAUUCAUGUUCAGGUCCUCCCUGGGCAGUGGGGCCAGGAUGUGGUAGCUGGUGCUGAGAGAAAGCCUUGUUUGACUCCUUGCCCUGGUACUACACCAGUGGCAGCUGUCACAGCGGGACAGAC
rnacentral:snoRNA from 1 species